UACGGGGGGAGCAAGCGUUGUUCGGAUUUACUGGGCGUAAAGGGCGCGUAGGCGGUCGUGACAAGUCACUUGUGAAAUCUCCGGGCUUAACUCGGAACGGUCAAGUGAUACUGUCGGACUAGAGUACAGAAGGGGCAACUGGAAUUCUCGGUGUAGCGGUGAAAUGCGUUGAUAUCCUAAGGAACACCGGUGGCGAAGGCGGCUUACUGGGUCUCUACUGACGCUGAGGCACGAAAGCUAGGGUAGCAAACGGG
rnacentral:rRNA from 1 species